ensembl:misc_RNA Y_RNA Y RNA
UGUUGGUCCAAUGGUAGUAGGUUAUCAGAACUUACUAAUACUACUGUCACUAAUGGUGAUAACCCCUACUGCUAAAUUUGACUGGCUUUAA